rnacentral:lncRNA from 1 species
ACCAAACACAAAUCAGUAGCAGCUGCAAGAUCCAGCAGAAACCACAAGGCUCCACCAAAUCAGCCUGACUCAAUGGAAGCAGCAAGAGAAGUUCUUUGUUGGCUUCUCUCUAUGAAGUGAAGAUCAGCACAGAAGCAAAGCAUUGCACAGCAUAGCAAUGCAAUAUUGUCCUCUCGCUGUUUGUGGGGUUCCAUUUAUAUCCGUUCUAAACAUCAUGUGCCCUCUCAAGUGUCUGUUUUCAGCAAAAUAUCACAGGCCUCCUUACAAGACAGUUUCCAGAAAAACAUGUGACAUACCUGAGUUGUUAAAGAAACCAAAAAUUUCCACAUCCAGACCAGACUAGUCAAUUCAGCAAUUUCCAAGCCAGUGAGAAGUACUGUCUCAACAAAUAAACCAAGGUGGAUCAUCCUAAAGAAUGACAUCAAGACUAACUUCUGGCUUCCACAUAUAUAUGCACACAUGUGCAGGCAUAACUACAAAACACGCAAACUCAUACAAUGUACGUACAUAUUAUGCCAAAAAUGGGGGGAGAGGUAGCAAGAAAGUGUGUGCAGAGAGCAUGUCUUGAGAGUCAGAGCAAGUCAGAGAGUAUGCUUGAGAGAGUGGGACAUGAAUACCCUAGUAUACACUGUAACCUCCAGCCCAGCCCUAAGGCAGUGCUGUCUUCCCCAUAUGUGAGUCCAUUGUGGUGAAUGGAAACUGCCAUAUUGGCUCAGGUUUCCAAAAGCUGAACCAAACUCAGGAUUUCUGGUUUAGUCAACAACCUGUUAUCCAUUUAGACACACAAGCCAAGAGAGGUGAAUAACAUUUCUCCAUGUCCCCCUGUUGAGAUGAGCCACAUCUGCGAUGCAGAAAGAGGGGAGCAGAUCGGGCUCUCUGGUGUGAAGUAUGUCCAAGGAUUUGACGGCCCUGCAGAGGGUGAUGACAACUGUGACUUGUCUGCAUUGUUAGUCACUUGUCUCACAAGUGUGACCAUAUACCAGGCUGUAGACAUGAUGGCUGAAACUUCAAUGCUGAGCAAUUUGAAGAAGAGGCAACCUUGAAGAUGAAAGCCACUUACUUACUGAUGGUGGCAGUACAGAAAAAGCAGAUGCCUGGGCUCCUGAAUGCUGUUCACCCCUAUGCCAUCCCUGCACCCUCUUUAGCUGCAUGAGAGGGAAAAUACCUGAUUUGAUGUAUUUUCACCAUGGUUCUUAUUAGAUGGUGUGGUGAGGC